rnacentral:rRNA from 1 species
CUCGCCUACGGGACGCAGCAGUGGGGAAUAUUGGGCAAUGGGCGCAAGCCUGACCCAGCAACGCCGCGUGAAGGAAGAAGGCUUUCGGGUUGUAAACUUCUUUUCUCAGGGACGAAGAAAGUGACGGUACCUGAGGAAUAAGCCACGGCUAACUACGUGCCAGCAGCCGCGGUAAUAGGUAGGAGGCAAGCGUUGUCCGGAUUUAUUGGGUGUAAAGGGCGUGUAGGCGGGAGCGGCAGUCGGAUGAGAA